ACAAACCAGCAGAGGCUCUGGAAAGGGUCCUCCUGAGCACGUGGCUCAUUCAUUCAUUCGACAAACGUUACCUGAGCGCCUGCCCACUCAUUGCCCGAGUGUGCUGGGAGCGCCGCACCAACUGCCUGGUAGGUGGGAGAAGGGACACGUCAGGUAACAAACAGCACAGGUAAGUGCCGGCCACUCAAAUGGGGUGGAAAGAGGUGGCACAGCGCUGCCGAGGGAGUGCGUUCCAGACAGGUGACCUCUUGCUUGGGUGCUGAAUGAGUGGAGUUUUCCAGAGAGACCAAGAGGAAGCAGCCGCAGAAACCUCAGCCCAGCUGGGCUUGCAGAAGCUAAUGCUAGAAUAGUUGUGGGACUCAGGAUCUGCUGAAGUCGGGGGAAGAGAGAAGUAGGGAAAGGAAAGCCCAGGCCACGCGUGGGGCUCAGGAACGGCAUCCUCGCCCGAGAAAAGAGAGGUUAAAACCAAGACAUGGACAAAGCCUCCGAAUGAAGGCAGCCCUUUAAAUGGAAUAAAUUUGGUUUCAUGGCACAUUAAUGGGGUGUCUUCUCUCCGAAGACACAGAGACAACUACAGUAGGUCUGGGGGCCGUCAGGGAUUGGAGGAACGAAGGUAAGAAAAGGAAGAAGUCAAAGUGGAGGAAGGAGGAGCUUGAGAUUGAAAAAUCAGUUUGAGAAGCAGCCACCUUGACUGGCUUCACUCUAAUAGCCUGGACGCUGCCUCCACACUCCAGGUGCACUGCUCAGCAUUCUCCAAGAAGAUCAUUAAGGCAGACCCUACGUGUUAAAUUUCAAUCAGUUUCAUUGAGCAAAUAUGCUGUUAAAUAGAGACUGCUGUGUGCUGCGUCAGUGUGCCUUAUGGGCAAAUGUGAUGGUGACUAUAAAUGCAGACCAAGCAGUCCUUCCCACACUGUGUACACAAAGAAAGGAGCUCUGGAACUGGGAGCCAGGACAUCUGCAGGAGGAGAAUUCUGAAGUGAAAGGAGGCCUGGAUAUUGGUUGCAAGGCCUUGUCCCUGGAGCCUGGAUGCUCUCAUACCUUCUACAUCUGGGCCUCUGGGUCCAGGACAGUGCCAGGGAGAGUUCAUAGAAACAAAUGUGUUGAAGACCUUAGCGGUUGUCUGACUCUGAGACAGUUACCUGGCCACUCUUAAGUUUCCUCAUUUUUUUUUUAAUUUUACUUUAAGUUGCGGGAUACAUGUGCAGAACGUGCAGGUUUGUUACAUAGGUAUGCAUGUGCCAUGGUGGUUUGCUGCACCUGUCAACCUUUCAUCUAGGUUUUAAGCCCCUCAUGCAUUAGAUAUUUGUCCUAAUGCUCUCCUUCCCCUUGGCCCCCUGUCAGGUCCUGGUGUGUGUGUUGUCUGGCCCCCACCGUGUCCAUGUGUUCCUAUUGUUCAUCUCCCAUUUAUGAGUGAGAAUAUGUGGUGUUUGGCUUUCUCUUCCUGUGUUAGUUUGCUGAGGAUGAUGGUUUCCAGCUUCAUCCAUGUCCCUGCAGAGGACAUGAUCUCAUCCUUUUCAUGGCUGCAUAGUAUUCCGUGUUGUGUAUAUACCACAUUUUCUUUAUCCAGUCUUUCAUUGGUGGACAUUUGGGUUGGUUUCAUGUCUUUGCUAUUGUAAAUAGUGCUGCAAUAAACAUUAUGUGUGCAUGU
rnacentral:lncRNA from 10 species